GAAGGAAGGAAGGAAGGAAGGAAGGAAGACUAGAGUGAACAGGAGAAAAAAUGAAAACAUAUUCAGCAAAGAUCAAUACUACAAGCUUAAUAAGACCCACCCUUCUAAUGCAGAAAGAAAGGAGAAAAGGAAGCUCAGAAUGGCAGCUAGCAACCCAAAAUCAGCACUAAUAGCAUGGCAAGCCCACAGAUAUCAAUCAGUUUCCGGCAGCUACCUCUUCCUUAGUCUUCUUUGAAAGAACCCGUAGCCAAUCUCCAAUCAUACUGAGGACAGCAGCAAAGUAUACAAGGCCAAUCAGGAUCCAGAACCAGACCAAGGGCUUGUACAUCUCACGCUCUAUCAAGUACAGAUUCUUUUCCAGAUCAAUGAAAACAAAGGGCCUGGAUUCUGGCGUAACUGGCAUGUGUGUCCAUUCUACAGUAGACUGCCAUCCACAUUUUAAAAAGAGCUUUUUAGUAAAGACCAAAGGGAGGAUGUCCUGGAAAGCUGACAGCAUAGAACAGUGGAUGGAUCCAGACAACCAUCGUGUUCAUGGGAUGAUUGCUAUUAGCACAUGGAUGGUAGCCUGAUCCUUUGAGGCUUUCAUCACAUGCUGAUUCUCUGUAAGACAGACUUCUAAAUUCAGCAGGACAAAUCCCCUACAUUAUUUGUUUGUUUGUUUUUAUUGUUCAAUUCUUAUAGUGCCUUUCAUAAAGCAUCUCAAGGCAGUUUACAAAAAUUAAAAUACAAUAAAAUUCUAUAUAAAUCAUUUAAAACCUUAAAAGUUAAACAGCA